AAAAAAAAAAAAAAUAGAUAUUUUUAUUUGUAUUAUUGUAAUUAAUAAAAUUAUACACCGUGCAGAAUAUAAGAUAAUAUAAAGAAUAUAUAUAGGUACUUAUCAAUAUUAAUAAUUACUAUUUUAAUAUAAUACAAUGUAAAUUAUUAUAACGAUUAUCAAACACGAUUAGAUGAAAUACGUACGACAUUCUCAAAUAACAAGUAUAGGUAUAUAUUAAUAUAAAAAUUUUUAUUUUUUUUUUUUCUCUACAUUAUUUUAUUCAAAAUUUAAUGUCGUCGAUCUCGUAUGCCGUGCUAUUAUACACAGCAUUACAGCAAAGAGGAUCGCGCGCUUAUCGUGGGUAUCGUAUACGUUGGACGGAUAAAACUGAUAAAAAUUUACACGUCUUGUAAAAUAAUAUAUGACCCGAGACGGGAAGACGUGGACGUAUAUUAUUAGUAAUAAUUAUAUAAAACGAAAAAAACCAAAAGCGAAUUUAAACAGCAAAACAAUAAUAAUUUUAGUGCGGUUAUAACUUAGGCAUACAGUUAGGUAUUAUGGAGAAGAAAAAUAUUGUGUUUUUAUAUUUCACAUACGAGAGACUUAAUAGUAGUUAAUAUUAUAUUUUUAUCAAGUCGGUUACAAUGCGGUUUUCCUAUGUCAUCCGUAACAAUAAUAAUAGAAAAAAAAAAAAAGUAUUUAUAUAAAAAAAACGCGGUGAUAACCAUGAAAAUAACAAUAAUAUGUACUUCUAUAACUGUCUAACGUUAAAACAAUAACCAAAACCUAUUCUAGAGGGGAAAUUAUUGCUAACCAAUAGCAAGUCGAAUAUUAAGACAUUAUACCUGUGUCAAUUAUAAAAUAGUAUAGUUCCAUAAUAUUAUACUUAUAUAUAUAUAUUUCUAAAAAUACAAAAUAAAAAAAAUCACCAACGUAGAGCCUUGCUUAUUCGAUGUUACAGGUAGGAUAGCUGGGGCGCCCGUCUUCGAAAAUCCAAGGUGUAGUUACGAGGACGAUGCAUUAUUUGUUUUUAAGUUUGUAUUUUGCUAAAACUGCAGUUAACGUACGGAAAAGCCAACGGGGGGGGGGUCGUACUCCCCCCCCCGGUCCCGAUGGACGAUCGCGGUGUAUGAUACGUAUAAAAAGGUUUCGAUAAAAAAAAAGAACCUCUACUUUUAUUGGCGCGGGUAUUCAGGGGGGAAAAAAAAUGACUUAUCGAGUCGAUACAUUCACAGGUAAGUACGUAAUAAGUAAUAUGGGUUUUAUACGUGUAUAAUAUAAUAUUAUUGCGUGCUUAAAAUUACACUUAAACUACCACUAGAAAUAUAGGUAAUAUUGUGAUAAUAUUAGGUACGUGUUUGGUCCCAGGGGAGAGAAGAAGGGCUCAAAUCGAUUUUCGGCAUUUUUUUUUUAUUUUUUUUUUUAUCCGGUCUUGUGCAAUCUGUUUCCCUUUUCCCGGUCUAAAUGACACAAGUGCCGCAGCGUGUAUUAUUAUUGUGUUACAGUUGUACGACCUGAGCCGCGCGGAUCACGCCGUUUACACAUAGCGACAAUUCGGCCGUUUCCAUGGACAUUUUCAAACGUUCAAAAUCCGCUGCUGCGGAAAACCGUACGAAACCGAGCGACUCGCGGACACUUUUUCCCCGGGACCAACGCAUCGUAUUAAACGUGUAUACCUAAUGCAUUGUUAUUGUUAUUUCGUAAUCGUAUAAAUACCCAUGUUGUAACACCCGAACGUGAAAUCGCCACGUUUGUCGGUGGGUUUAGCGUGUAGACUGUGGGCAAAGGCUGUGGUAGCGCUGCGGUAAAACGUGUAUGGAAAUUUAUAGGUGUUUUCU